rnacentral:misc_RNA from 1 species
UUUUGGUGCAACUUCCUCCUUAAUUCUCCAUCUGCCAAUCUCUAAAACCCUCACUCUUCUCUCACUCUUGACAUAGCAAACAUGGCCACUUACAAUCUCGCUCUUAUCCUCAAGAACUGCUUAAAUGAGAACGAAUUUCUGCUGGUAAAGCAAACCCCACCUCCAAAAUUCUUCGAUGAAGAAUAUGACUCAUUCGUUGAUUCUGAUCUAUGGGACUUGCCAUCAACUAAAUUAAACGUUCUAGACGGAGAAUUGGAGACUGGAAUAGCGAUUGAAGGCGUGGAGUCGCUUUUGCCCAAGUUCAAUUUCAGGAAAUACGAUAUUGAACCAGCUAUUAGCAGGGUAUUGGAGCAAGUGGGAAUUAAGGCAGUUGAUAAAAGAGACUGGAGAUUUUUCAAGUUAGUGGAGGAAGCUGAGUUUGGACCAGGAUUGCCUGUUCAUACAUUGUUCGUUAUGGGAUUCGCAAGCGGAAAUGAGAGUUUACCAGAACUAUGUAAAUGGAUGCAUAUCCAGAGUUGUCUAAACUGGCUUUUGGAUGUCAAACCAAGUAGCGAUCGUGUGGGGCCUUUGGCAGUGAUUGGUGUUAUAAAUGACUUGGUGCAAUCACCAGAACCAAAAGUCCAUACCACUUUAAAUCACCAGGAGUACCCUCCUGGUGUUAUAAUUGUACCUAUGAAAAGUAGGACAGCGAAGCCUUUCCAUACAACAAACUUGAUUAUAUUUGCACCUCAGAGUGUCUCAGCAGAAUGUGGGGAUUAUGGUUUUGUAGCUCGUGGUGAUGCAUUGAUAGUGGAUCCAGGAUGUCUUGCUGAUUUUCAUGGGGAGGUAUAUUGGUUUGUUCCUUGACCACAGCUCUAAUGCCUUUGAUAAAUGAUUUCUUUCACCCACGUUUUCACAGACAUGGUAAGCGGCAUAACUUUGUAAGAACUGAGGCAUAUAAUGUGUCUUUAGGCAUUUUCUUGACCUAUUCUGGCGAUUAUAUUUAGAAUAAUAAACUCAUAAUGGAACUCAAAUUGUUAUAUAUUAAAAUUUUGUUAGAUCCUAAGCUGGAGUUUCAAAAUUAUUUAUCCCAUAAUAUGCCCAUAGAUUGUCAUAAUUUUUUCAUUUAGGCUAAGGACUUAACAGAAGGAUCUAUCUUGUUUGAAUUUUGUAAUAUGUCUAUUGUGAAAUCAAAAUAUUUCACAAGUCAUUAUUUUAAAUCUGCAAACUAGUCUUUCAGUUUGGCAUAUGGAAGAAAUACCUUGGUAUGUAAUGUAACCCAUUGUGGUUAACUAUUGUCCUAGUACUAUCUUUAUGGGCUUAAAAAUUUAACUUGACAGUAAAAGAAGGCAUGAUCCUUCACACAGCACACCCAGUCUCACGUUGAGUGUAAUUUCUUGUCACAUUUGAUUCGCUCCCAAACCUGGACGAAGGAAUAUAACUAGAUGUUCUUGUACUUGAUCUGAAUUCAGCUGAAAUAUCCUUAACCAGUUUAUAUCAUGAUUAGUUCUUGCAUGGGUCUCUAUUUUCAUUUUGUUUAUUUCCUUGCAUUGUUUAUGAUGUCAUUGUAAUUUCCAAUGGUGGCUUAAAUAAUUUAUUCUUGUGACUUUUAUUAUUCAAAUUUUAAAGUUGAUCAAUGAAUUUUUCUGUCCUUGAUCAGCUCUUGAAAAUUGUCUCUGCUCUCUCCAGAAAGUUAGUUGUCUUUGUCACCCAUCACCACCAUGACCAUGUUGAUGGUCUUUCUAUCAUCCAAAGGUGUAAUCCUGACGCUACUUUAUUAGCACACAAGAACACCAUGCGCCGCAUUGGAAAAGGUUAUAAUUAUUAUCUUUGUCUUUCCAUUUUGACUCUAACCAUAGUGAUGAUUCCAUUUUGUGACACGCUGUUGCAGUGUGAUAUUUGUAAACAUAGCUUCUUCUCAAUGUGCUUGGAACCAAUUUUAAGUGGUAGAUAUUUUAUCUUACAAAAAUAAAUAAAUAAAAUGGUAAAUGCAACAUCUAAGCAUAGAAUUCAUGAAUUUACUUUGUCUUUGUUUGUAAACAUAAAUUUCUAAUCUCAUUCAGUUUGUGUAACUUCAAUGGGCUUCACAUUAUGCCAGAGGAUUGGUCUCUUGGCUAUACCUCAGUUUCUGGAGGAGAAGAGAUUUGCAUUGGUGGUCAAAGGUUGAAAGUCAUUUUUGCUCCAGGACAUACAGACGGCCAUGUGGCACUGCUUCAUAUCAGCACUCACUCAUUGAUUGUAGGGGAUCAUUGUGUGGGGUAAGAUUCUCUAGAAGACUGUCAUUGUAGGUCCAGUUUCAACCAUGUGAUCAAUAAAUUUGUCAAUGAUGAUCAGGAUUACUUACCAUUUUCAUAAUAGGAAACCAUAAUCAUAUGGAGCUAGAAAGACCAGCCUUCAACAUUUACAUAUAGGGGUGAGCUUUGGUGAAAUUGUAAGGUUAUUCCACAAUUAGGACCUAGAGGCCACUGGUUCCACGGAAACAGCCUCCUUGCAAUGAAAAAGAUGAAUGUUGUUUAUAUUUGACCCUCCUUAGAUCCCAAAAUGUGGGAGUCUCACUCAUUAUAACUCAUUUUAUGUUAUUAUGCAUUGUUAACAUAUAUGUAAAGCAAGUGAAGGCUGUGGCUAGGAUUUAUGUAAUUAUGAUGACUGUAUUUGCACGUGGGAAAUUUAGUCAGCGUGCCUAUGUUUGUAUCUGAUAGAAAAUCAUGUUUAACUGACUUUGAUUUACAUGAUAAAUAAUAAAACUGUUAGAAAUGACCCAUAUAAUGGCAAGACCAUUAAAUUGUGAUGAUAUUUGUUCUAGAAUAGCCAUACACAAAAAUUGAAAGGAUAGGUACCUCAAAUGUUGGAAUUUUCUUCCCUUUGCUUUCAUGUUUUAAGUUUGUCCUUUUUAUUGUUUGCAUAUGUGAAUGAAGCACCCAUUUGAGGCUAUGCAGAAAGGCACGUGUCCUAUGUGAACUUCUCAGCAUUCUUAUGUGUUUUAUGGCUUAUCUUAUUCACCAGGAAUUGUUUUGCUAAUGUAUCUAUGGCUUUGUUGCAGUCAAGGAAGUGCAGUCUUGGAUGUUACUUCUGGAGGGAAUAUGGCUGAUUACUUCCAGUCAACUUACAAAUUUAUUGAGCUUGCUCCACAUGCUUUGAUCCCAAUGCAUGGGAGAGUCAAUCUGUGGCCAAAGCACAUGCUUUGUGCAUAUCUCAAGAAUCGCCGGAGUAGAGAAGCAGCCAUCUUGAAAGCUAUAGAAAAUGGAGCAAAGACAUUAAUUGACAUAGUUGCCAGUGUUUAUUGUGACGUGGAUCGCAGAGCUUGGAUUGCUGCUGCAUCAAAUGUGCGGCUUCAUGCUGAUCAUCUGGCUCGGCAAAAUAAAUUACCGAAGGUAGUUUCUGGUAAUUUCAAGUUACCAAUUUUCUUUCGCUGGCUUUAUAUGGAGGCAUGAUGAUCCGGCUAGGGGCUGGGUCAGAAUCGGAACCAGACCUGUUCAAACCAAACCAGAACCGGUCAAACCAUGGUUGACUUGAACCGUGAUUGAACUGGCUGGUUUGUUUCCAUGCAAAAACCAAAUUUUUAUCGAAAAAAAUUUUUAAAAAAUAUGGAUUGUUGGAUUUGAUCAAAAUUGAACAGAACCAUGUUUAAACCAGAACUGGAAUUGGUUCCAUGGGAGGACUAUGGGGCCAUACAUUUCACCUUCUUUAAUUUUUUUUUUUUACUAAUUGUUGUCGUGGUAAGUCAGGGGACUAUCUUCACAAAUGCAAUGGCUAAAUUUAGAAAAAGUUGGCUUUCAUUUAAUUUGGGAAAAUAACAGGUUUUGUUUUGGGUUAACUUAUUUGUUGGUUACAGUACUAGCUACGAAACCUACAUAGAAAAAAUUGAGGCGGCUUGAAUAGAAAAUAUCCAAAUGAUUUGCUCUACCGUCCCACUCAAAAAUUACUGCAGGAGAGAGAGAGAGAGAA